CCUACGGGAGGCAGCAGUGGGGAAUAUUGGGCAAUGGGCGCAAGCCUGACCCAGCAACGCCGCGUGAAGGAAGAAGGCUUUCGGGUUGUAAACUUCUUUUAUUGAGGACGAAACAAAUGACGGUACCCAAUGAAUAAGCCACGGCUAACUACGUGCCAGCAGCCGCGGUAAUACGUAGGUGGCAAGCGUUAUCCGGAUUUACUGGGUGUAAAGGGCGUGUAGGCGGGACUGCAAGUCAGAUGUGAAACCCAUGGGCUCAACCCAUGGCCUGCAUUUGAAACUGUAGUUCUUGAGUGAUGGAGAGGCAGGCGGAAUUCCGUGUGUAGCGGUGAAAUGCGUAGAUAUACGGAGGAACACCAGUGGCGAAGGCGGACUGCUGGACAGUAACUGACGCUGAGGCGCGAAAGCGUGGGGAGCAAACAGGAUUAGAUACCCCAGUAGUC
rnacentral:rRNA from 1 species